AAUGAACGCUGGCGGCGCGCCUAAUACAUGCAAGUCGAGCGAGAAGACGUAGCAAUACGUUUGUAAAGCGGCGAACGGGUGAGGAAUACAUGGGUAACCUACCCUCGAGUGGGGAAUAACUAGCCGAAAGGUUAGCUAAUACCGCGUACGCUUCUUGGACUUCGGUUCAGGGAGGAAAGCGAUGCCGAGGGUAUCGCGCUCUUGGAUGGGCUCAUGUCCUAUCAGCUGUUGGUGAGGUAACGGCUCACCAAGGCUUCGACGGGUAGCUGGUCUGAGAGGACGAUCAGCCACACUGGCACUGCGACACGGGCCAGACUCCUACGGGAGGCAGCAGUGGGGAAUAUUGGACAAUGGGCGCAAGCCUGAUCCAGCGAUGCCGCGUGUGUGAAGAAGGCCUGCGGGUUGUAAAGCACUUUCAGUAGGGAAGAAAGACGAGUGCUAAUAUC
rnacentral:rRNA from 1 species